UAGCAUAUCAAUAAGCGGAGGAAAAGAAACCAACAGGGAUUGCCUCAGUAACGGCGAGUGAAGCGGCAACAGCUCAAAUUUGAAAUCUGGCCUCUUGGGGUCCGAGUUGUAAUUUGUAGAGGAUGUUUCGGGUACCGCCUCGGUUUAAAUUUCUUGGAACAGAAUGUCAAAGAGGGUGAGAAUCCCGUCUUGGACCGGCGGUAGGGCCUAUGUGAAACUCCUUCGACGAGUCGAGUUGUUUGGGAAUGCAGCUCAAAAUGGGUGGUAAAUUUCAUCUAAAGCUAAAUAUUGGCCAGAGACCGAUAGCGCACAAGUAGAGUGAUCGAAAGAUGAAAAGCACUUUGAAAAGAGAGUUAAACAGUAUGUGAAAUUGUUGAAAGGGAAGCGCUUGCAACCAGACUUGAGCGCGGCGGUUCCCCCUUGCUUCUGCUUGGGUUACUCCGCCGUGUCCAGGCCAACAUCGGUUCUGGGGGUCGGUCAAAGGCUCUGGGAAUGUAUCUACCCACGGGUAGACUUAUAGACCAGGGUGUCAUGCGACCUCCCGGGACCGAGGAACGCGCUUCGGCUCGGAUGUUGGCGUAAUGGUUGUCAGCGACCCGUCUUGAAACACGGACCAAGGAGUCUAACAUCUAUGCGAGUGUUUGGGUGUCAAACCCGGAACGCGGAAUGAAAGUGAACGGAGGUAGGAAGCUUCGGCUGCACUAUCGACCGAUCCUGAAGUUUACGGAUGGAUUUGAGUAAGAGCAUAGCUGUUGGGACCCGAAAGAUGGUGAACUAUGCCUGAAUAGGGUGAAGCCAGAGGAAACUCUGGUGGAGGCUCGCAGCGGUUCUGACGUGCAAAUCGAUCGUCAAAUUUGGGUAUAGGGGCGAAAGACUAAUCGAACCAUCUGGUAGCUGGUUCCUGC
rnacentral:rRNA from 1 species